UUUCCGUAGGUGAACCUGCGGAAGGAUCAUUCAUAAUAAAGUGUUUUAUGGCACUUUUUAAAAAUCCAUAUCCACCUUGUGUGCAAUGUUAGAUCUCGUCAAUCUUGGCGAGAUUUUUAUACAUCUACUCAUUCUUUAACUAAUUUGUCUGAAAAAUAUUAUGAAUACUUAAUUCAAAAUACAACUUUCAACAACGGAUCUCUUGGCUCUC
rnacentral:misc_RNA from 1 species